rnacentral:rRNA from 1 species
GAUGAACGCUGGCGGCGUGCCUAAUACAUGCCAGUCGAGCGAACGGACGAGAAGCUUGCUUCUCUGAUGUUAGCGGCGGACGGGUGAGUAACACGUGGAUAACCUACCUAUAAGACUGGGAUAACUUCGGGAAACCGGAGCUAAUACCGGAUGAUAUUUUGAACCGCAUGGUUCAAAAGUGAAAGACGGUCUUGCUGUCACUUAUAGAUGGAUCCGCGCUGCAUUAGCUAGUUGGUAAGGUAACGGCUUACCAAGGCAACGAUGCAUAGCCGACCUGAGAGGGUGAUCGGCCAAACUGGAACUGAGACACGGUCCAGACUCCUACGGGAGGCAGCAGUAGGGAAUCUUCCGCAAUGGGCGAAAGCCUGACGGAGCAACGCCGCGUGAGUGAUGAAGGUCUUCGGAUCGUAAAACUCUGUUAUUAGGGAAGAACAUAUGUGUAAGUAACUGUGCACAUCUUGACGGUACCUAAUCAGAAAGCCACGGCUAACUACGUG